UGCAAGUCGAGCGAGCGGAACCAACAGAUUUACUUCGGUAAUGACGUUNNNCNAAAGCGAGCGGCGGAUGGGUGAGUAACACGUGGGGAACCUGCCCCUAAGUCUGGGAUACCAUUUGGAAACAGGUGCUAAUACCGGAUAAUAAAGCAGAUCGCAUGAUCAGCUUUUGAAAGGCGGCGUAAGCUGUCGCUAAGGGAUGGCCCCGCGGUGCAUUAGCUAGUUGGUAAGGUAACNGNUUACCAAGGCGACGAUGCAUAGCCGAGUUGAGAGACUGAUCGGCCACAUUGGGACUGAGACACGGCCCAAACUCCUACGGGAGGCAGCAGUAGGGAAUCUUCCACAAUGGACGCAAGUCUGAUGGAGCAACGCCGCGUGAGUGAAGAAGGUUUNCGGAUCGUAAAGCUCUGUUGUUGGUGAAGAAGGAUAGAGGUAGUAACUGGCCUUUAUUUGACGGUAAUCAACCAGAAAGUCACGGCUAACUAC
rnacentral:rRNA from 1 species